rnacentral:rRNA from 1 species
CAGUGGGGAAUAUUGGACAAUGGGCGAGAGCCUGAUGCAGCGACGCCGCGUGAGGGAUGAAGGCCUUCGGGUCGUAAACCUCUUUCAGCAGGGAAGAAGCGAAAGUGACGGUACCUGCAGAAGAAGCGCCGGCUAACUACGUGCCAGCAGCCGCGGUAAUACGUAGGGCGCAAGCGUUGUCCGGAAUUAUUGGGCGUAAAGAGCUCGUAGGCGGUUUGUCGCGCCUGCUAUGAAAACCUGAGGCUCAACCUCGGGCUUGCAGUGGGUACGGGCAGACUAGGGUGCGGUAGGGGUGACUGGAAUUCCUGGUGUAGCGGUGGAAUGCGCAGAUAUCAGGAGGAACACCGAUGGCGAAGGCAGGUCACUGGGCCGCAACUGACGCUGAGGAGCGAAAGCAUGGGGAGCGAACAGGAUUAGA